AGGAGACCAGGACAACUCGUAGUUUUCCAAAUCCCGUUUAUUUUUUAUUGGUGGUUGGAUUUCAGGUGGACCAAUGGCACAAGGAAGAUUACAACCACAAUAUCAAAGAAUUAUAUAAAAUAAUACAAAAGGAGGUUCCAGUUAUACAAAGCAAAAGGUGUGGACUGCAUUUCAUUUAAAUCCUCUUUCUCCCCACUGGUCUCUGCGUCAGUAAAGGGCCGACCACUAGACCACAUGUUUAGACUUCCACGUGCGCCCUGGUCGCCAUGGAGACCGACAUCUGCCAGGAACCGCUCACCCACAUUGUGAUGCCCGCCUCCGCAGAACCUGUGGGGGCGGGUUCUCCGGAGGAACCGGGAGUUACGGUUCCCUCCUCAGUCGGGAAAUAAAUCCAGACGCAUUCAAGAAAGUCGACCAAUCACAAGAGAGCGCCGCCCCCGGUUCCACAGUGCAGUAAAGAGGAACCGACUGACACUUUACAUACCGCGUUAAACAAUAUCACGCUGAGAUAUACAUCGUUCCUCCUAUACAUCUGAUCACACAGAGCGGGCGGUCAAAUCCCCGGUCAGACCACUAGUCCGGUCAGACCACUGGUCCGGUCAGACCACUGGUCCGGUCAGACCACUGGUCCGGUCAGACCACUAUUCCAGUCAGACCACUGGUCCAGUCAGACCACUGGUCCGGUCAGAUCACUGGUCCGGUCAGACCACUGGUCCAGUCAGACCUCUGGUCCGGUCAGAUCACUAUUCCAGUCAGACCACUAUUCCAGUCAGACCACUAUUCCAGUCAGACCACUAUUCCAGUCAGACCACUGGUCCAGUCAGACCACUGGUCCAGUCAGACCUACUAUUCCAGUCAGACCUACUAUUCCAGUCAGACCACUAUUCCAGUCAGACCACUGGUCCAGUCAGACCACUAUUCCAGUCAGACCACUGGUCCAGUCAGACCACUGGUCCAGUCAGACCACUAUUCCAGUCAGACCACUAUUCCAGUCAGACCACUAUUCCAGUCAGAUCAAUCUUCAGAGUGCGCCGCCUCUUCCAGAAAAAAAUAGGAUAUAUAUCACUGAACAAAACAAAAACAAAUAAGUCAAUCCGGUGACGUCUAAAAAUAAUAAUAAGCAUCUUUCUGAGCCUCACCGUCUUACAGAAACAAGGGCACCCCAUCCAGGCAGGACUAAAGACGGCCGCAAGCCCGGACCCCAGUCCCCCUACGGAGGUAUGGACCCCACCCUGGACCCCCAGACCUCCGUAGGGGGCGGGGGACCAGGUGGGGGUCCAGGCGCUGGUGGAUUAUCUACGUUGUUUAUCGCCUCCAGUUUGAGGACAUUAGGAUGAGAUGACUGGCGAUCGGUUAUUGGGUCUGACCCACAUUAGGGGGAGGAGCUAAGAGUGAAUCAGCGCGGGAUUGGAGGAAGAGGCACUAGUUUGUGACGGGUCUGAGGGGGCGUGGCCUAGCACCAGGACAGAACCGGGGGGGGGUGAACAAGACUCUCACUGUGCUCUGAUUGGUAGAGGAAGUGGAACAAGCCUUCCCUAUCUACGCGACCCUUCCUGCUUCCUGUUUGGUCCAGGAAAUCCCACUGUGCCCGUCCAAUGAGAAGUGGGCAGGAGAACAACACAGGAAACCAUCCUAACGUAGUGUUAGCAGGUCGCCAUGACGCCCACCGCGCUUACAUCACGUACAUCAUCCACACACACUGGGACACAACAUAGAUACACAACCUGGUAUCAAAAGGAACACACGAACCAGCACGGGCCUGACCGGUCGGAACCAGUCGGGCCCGCGUUAAACACAUCCUAUUAUUGACGCUACGCUAUUCAGUCUCCACGGCAACAACGACAGAAGCCUGCCUUGUUUGAUCCAGUCAGCCGGGACACACACACACACACACACACACACACACACACACACACACACACACACACACACACACACACACACACACACACACACACACACACACACACAGGGGGGAGAUAUUAUAUAUGUGUAGAGGAGGGGAGGGUGGAUCUAAAUCUGCUUCUGAGGAAGGAAUCUGUUUAUUUUUGGGGGGG
ensembl:lncRNA